UACAGAGGUCUCAAGCGUUGUUCGGAUUCAUUGGGCGUAAAGGGUGUGUAGGUGGCGCGCUAAGUCGGGUGUGAAAUUUCGGAGCUUAACUCCGAAACUGCAUUCGAUACUGGCGUGCUUGAGGACUGGAGAGGAGACUGGAAUUCAUGGUGUAGCAGUGAAAUGCGUAGAUAUCGUGAGGAAGACCAGUGGCGAAGGCGGAUCUCUGGACAGUUCCUGACGCUGAGGCACGAAGGCCAGGGGAGCAAACGGG
rnacentral:rRNA from 1 species